CAACCAUCUCUGGAUCCUUCAUUCCCAUGCUGAUGAGGAAUAAGCCCUUCUCUUCAUGUGCCACUUCUCGUACGAUCAACUUCUUUAACGAGAUCACUGUUGAUUUCUGGUCCUUGGAAAGAGGAGCAAAGAAGGGGAGGAAAAAGAAAAAAGCUGUCAUGUCAGCCAUGGUCACUUAAUAUAGCUGGGCAAGCCAAAGAGUUUUGGAGGAGAAAAUGGCAUAUUGUUCAGUACCUACAAGUGAACUACAUUUGCUAUUUUAAUUUAGCCUAAGGCAAUAUUAUGCCUAUGCAUGUCUGCCAGAUAUGAUCCAUAUAAAGGAAAAGAAGAAAAGACAGCACAGGCUUCUACAAAGAUGGUUUGGGGACUUUUCUCUCCUCUUAGAAGCACAAUCUAGCUUCAUCAAACACACAUGUUUUUGUGAAGUCUCACCUUUCAACCUCCCUGCUGAAUUUCUCAGGGAAAGACUCCCAUCUCGAACAAGCUUUUUUCGUUUCAAAUCUUCCUUGGCAAACAUCUGUCCACUCUUCAUCCUCAUAAUCGACUUGCUGUCUGUCUUGGUGUAAAUCUCAUUAAGACGAACUUUCUUUUCAUAAUUUGCAACUUUGUUGUCCACUGCUCCAAUCACGUCCUUCACCAGGCUCAGUGAGUGGGCCAGAUCUUCCUGUUCUAAGUCAUUUUCUUAAGAGAAAAAAGGAGGAGACUUGAUUUCAUUUUCUUCCUUUAGACUAAGGGAUUCCUUCUUUCUUUCCAGAAUUCUUUGAAAGAAUUGGCUGUGAAUACUGAGGAGCUCAUCUAAGCAAGGGAACAGUUUUUCUACCAUUUGCUGCUCAAAAAGCAGGUCUGUCAUCAUUCCUCUGCUAUACACAUCACUCAUGAUCUUCAAAGUGCGGAUAUGAUGUAAUUCUGUCUGCAUCAAUUCUAGGAAUUAUCCCUGACAAGUGCUUUACAUACAUGACCUCAUUUGAUGAUAACAACUGUCCAGUGAGGUCCUCUUCAGUGAGGGACACCAAAGAGUCACCACGUUCCUCGCCACCGAAGGGAUUUCGCCUCAGCUCUUUUGAGUUUGUAGAGUUGGCAUCCAAGGCUGAGGAGGGCUUGUUGUUGUCCCCAGCUCCUCCAGAGAGGCCUUCUAAACUGAAACUGAAUGAAGGCCACAACCGUUAAUCUCUGAAUCUCAAAAAAGAAGACACUCAAAAAGUAGGAGCCCUUUCAGGCAGCCACUGCCAACUACACUAUCAUUCUUUGAAUGUUUGUUGUCAUGCUAACCAUGUAGCCAGCCUGAAGAGAUGGGUGCAAAACACUGGAUGGGUGCAGAAUACCUCUCAAACCAAAUUUCCUAAUCUGUUUUCCUUUUCUAAUCCAUCCAAAGUAUUUGAGAAGGGAUCGUUGAGUGAAGGAAAUCUAAUUCACUAAAUUUUUAUUCUGCCAAUAGAGUUCAUCUUUUGGCUCAUAAACUUCACACUGUAAAAGAAGUUCUGUGUGAUUAAAUGUAUAUAACUUUUUCUUGGAUCUACUGAUUCUGCUGCCCUGACAGAUAUAAAAACUGAUCAUUGAGGAAUUAUAAUCUGGAUCAAUGAAGGGGAUACACUGAAUAAAUCACAGGAGUAAUUCAGGAAGCUAUUAUUUUAAAGAACAAACAAACAAAAGAACUACUGCUGCCCGAGCUUUUAAAGGGCCUCUAAGUGACAUUCCUGUUUGGGAAGGUAAAAAAGGAAGAGUGAAGAGGAAGGAACAAGAGAAGAAAAAUGGACAUGAAAAAUAACAAGGAAAUCAAAACUGAUAGGCCUGGUGACAUUCUGGCAGGGAAUUAAAUGGAAAAUCAGUCAAAUGGCCUAUAGAAGCUAAUGUACAAGUUUACCUAUUCUCACCGAUCAUGUAUAAAUUUAACUCCAAUCUUACUUCAACCUUUGAAUAGUCUUUGGACUGUACAAGAGAAUGUAGGGAUUCUAAUAAAGUUAUUUUCCAUGUUAAUAAUAA